UAUAAAUUGAGUUUGGUGAUGGCUCUGAUUGAAUGCUGUCCAAGUGCUUGACACAUGCUAAUCGUACGUUUUAAUAAUAAAUAUUAAAAAGUGGUGUACAGGUGAGUAUUAGAUAUUUUUUGCCUAUCUUAAAGAGAAGGUAGAUCCUUCAUAUUAAUAAAGAGGUAACGACAUAAAAUACAUUAUGUUGUCUGCCUUGCUUUAAGAGGAUGAUAAUUAUCAUCGAGACAGGUAGUAGUUAAGGUGAUGACUUAACUAGCCGACAACUCUCGUAGUCGUAUCUGAAAGGUUGAUCGACCACAUUGGGUCUGAAAAAAGCCCAAUGCAUAUAAGUACAGCAGUGAGGAAUCUUGGUCAAUGGCCUAACGGCUGAACUGGCAACUUGGAGGAGUGAUAAGUCUUAAGUGUCGAUUUUCAUUUAAGAUUUUAUUGAACAUCGAAUGAAGCUUUGUCUAUAUAUUGAUAAUGACAAUAUAUAUAUUACGUCUUGACCAAUUACGUGCCAGCAGUCGCGGUAAUACGUAAAAGACUAGUGUUAUUCAUAAGGAUUAGGUUUAAAGGGUACUUAGAUGGUCAUAAUAGCUUGUAAUAAUGUAACUAUUAGACUAGAGUUAUAUGUAAGAGGGCAGAACUUGCGGAGGAGAGAUAAAAUUCUUUGAUCCCAAAGGGACUGGUAACGGCGAAGGCAGCCCUUUAUGUAAUAACUGACAUUGAAGGACGAAGGCAUUGAUAACAAACAGGAUUAGAUACCCUUAGUAGUCUUUGCAGUCAAUGAUGAAUGCCAUAAGUUAGAUUUUAAAUUUAAUAAACGGAAAUAAAUCUUAUUAUUAAAUAGUAUUUAGCUUAUAAAUAAAAGUGUAAGCAUUCCACCUCAAGAGUAAUGUGGCAACGCAGGAACUGAAAUCACUAGACCGUUUCUGACACCAGCAGUGAAGUAUGUUGUUUAAUUCGAUGACCCACGAAAAACCUUACCGCGGUUUGUAUAACUUUUUAGUUACAGGUAUUGCACGGUUGUUUUCAGUUAAUGUUGUGAAACUGUGUUUUUUUUACAUGAAAUUAACGUAAUCCCUAACUUUAUUUCGUAGAUUUACGAUAAAGUGUUCAUUUCACCAAAAGUGAAAUUAGUGAGAAAGGGGACUAAGACAAAUCAUCAUGGUCUUAAUACCGCGGGCUACAGACGUGCCACGUACUCCUAUAACAAAGAGAUGCAAAAAUGUGAAUUUAAGCUAAUCUCAGAAAAAAGGAUAUAAAUUAGAUAUGGAUUGUAGUCUGAAACUCGACUAUUUGAAAAAGUAAUUGCUAGUAAUCGUGAAUCACCAUGUCACGGUGAAUUUCUCUCGGAUUGGUACUAACCACUCGUCACAUGCUGAAAGGAGUUUACACAAUAAGUUUGCUUUUUUAGUUAUAAGCACUUGAACAAAUAGGUUCAUUCUUAAGCUGAAAAUCUUCGUAUGUGUAAUUCUAAUUAGUGUAAAGUCGAAAUACGGUUCGUGUAGCGGAAGUUGCACGGGAAGCAUUAUUAUU
rnacentral:rRNA from 2 species